AUAAUUGCUUGCUGUUAAGAGUCAGCUAAGGAUGCCUGUUGAAAAUAGACUCCACGCCCCCUUCCCUUCGAAGGCUGAUUCUGCAGGUAUGGUGGGACUCUGGGGCUCCUUAUCAUUGGGAAGGUUUAAGAAACAUUUUAUUUCUUGACUCUUAAUGUUGGAUGGAUAUUGGAAUCACUUGGGGAGCUUUACAAAAGUAGCACUGGGGCCGGGCACGGUGACUCAUGUCUGUAAUCCCAGCACUUUGGGAAGCCUAGACAGGCAGAUCAUGAGGUCAGGAGAUUGAGACCAUCCUGGCUAACACGGUGAAACCCCGUCUCUACUAAAAAUACAAAAAAUUAGCCGGGCGUGGUGGCGGGCACCUGUAGUCCCAGCUACUCGGGAGGCUGAGGCAGGAGAAUUGCUUGAACUCAGGAGGUGGAGCUUGCAGUGAGCCGAGAUUUCGCCAGUGCACUCCAGCCUGGGCGAUAGAGUGAGACUCCAUCUCACACACACACACACACACACACACACACACAAAGUAGUACUGGGCCUGGGUCCCACGGAAGAGAUUCUGGCUUAGUUUAUGGUGUGGCCCGGGCAUUUGGAUUUUUUGAAGCUUCCGGGUGCUUCUAAUUUGCAGCCAAAGUUUAGAACCGCUGACUUGAUUGAAACAAUAGCCAGUUAUCUGUAACAUAUGUGAAAGCAAUAUCUAACAUUUCCAUUAAGACAUACAAAGUGCUUUUACAGAUGUGUGUCUUAUUUGAAUCCUUGACAACCUGGUGAAGUAGGUUAGAGUUGGUUAUUAUCUUUCCUUUACAGGUAAGCGAACUAGACUUCAGAGAGGUGAAGUAGUUUGAUGGAGGACCACUCGCAGCAGAAUUCUGGAACUGCUGAGGUGUACCUUAGGCAUGCUACUACCUCACUCUCUAUGUGCCCUGGCUCCUACUAGCUCUCCGGCUUUCCCAGCCUCCCUUUAAAAGAAAAGAAAAGAGGCCAGGCAUGGUGGCUUACACUUGUAAUCCUAGCACUUUGGAGGCUGAGGUGGGAGGAUCACUUGAGCCUAGGAGUUCAAGACUAGCUGGGGCAACAUAGUGAGACAUCAUCUCUACCAAAAAAAAAAAAAUUAAAAAAAAAUUGGCUGGGCAUGGUGGUGCACACCUGUAGUCCCAGCUACUUGGGAAGCUGAGGUGGGAGGAUCACUUGAGCCCAGGAAGUUGAGGCUGCAGUGAGCCAUGAUUAUGCCACUGAACUCUAGCCUAGGCAAUAGAACAAGACCCUGUCCAAAAAGAAAAGAAAAGCUCUCUUGUUUCUAGAGCUUCUCUUACGUUGGAAUUGUUAUUGAUAAUAAUACAACAGCAGUAGGAGCUAACAUUGGGCCCUUUGUAUACAUUGUGCUAAGAGCUCUACAUGCAUUAUCUUAAUUGUCUUGAAGACUCUGUGAGGUAGGUCAUAUAUGUUAUAUCCCCAUUUUAUAGCGUAGGAAACUGAGUCUUAGAGAGUAACUGGCUUGCUAAGGGUCAUAUUCCUAUGCAAACAUUCUUCUUAUUUUAUCUAAGCCUUUUCUUAUUUUCCGUUCAGUCAACCAAAUUUCAGCAAGUGGCAGAGAGGAAAAGAAUCAGGUAAAGUAUUUCUGAGCUGGGCACGGUGGCUCACGCCUGUAAUCCCAGCACUUUGGGAGGCUGGGUGGAUCACCUGAGGUCAGGAGUUCGAGACCAGCCUGGCCUACAUGGUGAAACCCCGUCUUUACUAAAAAUACAAAAAAUUAGCUGGGCGUGGUGGUGGGCACCUGCAAUCCCAGCUACUCAGGAGGCUGAGGCAGGAGAAUUGCUUGAAUCUGGGAGGCGGAGGCUGCAGUGAGCUGAGAUUGUGCCAUUGCACUCUAGCCUGGGCAACGAGAGCAAAGCUCUGUCUCAAAAAAAAAAAAAAGAAUUGCUGAAUACGCGAUGAUUGACAAUGACAACUUCCUUGAAUUGUAUUACCACUUCUAAUAUGGGGACUGGAUUUUUAAAGAAACUUCUGGAGCCAGUCACGCAAAAGCAUGAGGAUCUAGUGCUUGAAGGAUUCAGUUGGAGAAUCAUGGGUUGUUAAUUCCUAACUAACCCUGCCUUUCCAGAGACAGCAGUAGUUCCCUGAAUUAAGGCCUAGAUCUGGCAUCAGAAGGCUUGGGCACAGGUCUCAGAUGGCUUUUUUUAGCUGUGGGGUCUUGAGCCAGUCCUAUCCAGGACAAAGUUUUAUGUUCUGAGUGAAUCAGGCCAAGUUGGAACAUUAAUCAAUGCUCUUAUGUCUACUUUUCUAAGGUUUGCAAAACGCUGAGCAUAUUUUUUUGUGGUCUCAGUAUUCAGAGCUCAAAGUACAUCAGGUGAAGAACCUGGAAUCUACAAGUUCAAGAGGCAUGGGGAGCACCUUGGUGAGGUCCACAAACUCUUUGCAGAAGUUCAGCACAAUUUUAUGGUGCUAAAAAGAGAGUGAAAGAUGUAAAAGAACAGAAUUUCUUUAUCCAUCCAAUAUAUUUAUUUUCCUUCCUCCCUCCCUCCCUCCGUCCCUCCUUCCCUCCCUCCUUCCCUCCCUCCUUCCCUCCCUCCUUUUUCUUUCUUGGCAGGGUCUUGUUUUAUCACCUAGGCUGGAAUGCAGUGGAACCUGCUUAGCUCACUGUAGCCUUGAACUGCUGGGCUCAAGCAGUCCUCCUGUUUUGGCCUCUGAAGCAACUGGGACUACAGGUGUGUGCCGUCAUGUCUGCCUUAUCAAUCCAAUUUCUAAGACUGUCAUUUUGUGUGGGAAUUCUAGUUCCUCUUUGCAAACUGGAGGUUAUAUAAAAAUCAAGGAGAAAUUAUUCUAUUAUAUAUACUACAAAGAGAAUAAUGACUACUAAAGCUUAAAUUUAUAAUGCAUUAUGUAAUACAUAAAUCUCAAUUUAUUCAGCAAAUAGUGAGCACGUGGUCUGUACUAGACACUGGGAAUAUAAUGGCCAAGGCCCCUACUUUCAUGAAGCAUGCUUUCUAGAUGGCCAUAGAUAAAGGACAAGUGCAAAAACAGAUUAGUAAAACAAUAGCUGUGCUCAAUUUUUCAAAAGAAGCCAACAGGGGGUCGAGAUGGAGGUUGUUAGGAGAGGUGAUGGAGCAGGCAGGCAGAGGUGACAUUUAAGCUCAAAGGAUAUGAAGAGGCCAGCUGCUCUGAGUGUGGGAAGAGAAACAUAACUGGCAAAGAGGUUCAUAAAUGAAAAGUCCCUGAGGUGGGAGAAAAAAGGUUGAUGUAGCUGAGAAACUGGAAAAAGUCAAGUAUGACUGGGUGUGGACAACAUGACAAGAGGCCACAAGGCUCUUGAGAGGCCGGGUUGUAUAGCCCUCAUGGGCAAUGGUGAAGAGUGUGAAUUCUAUUUGAGACCCAAUAAGAAACCAUUGAAGAAUUUUAAGCAGAGAAACAGCAUGAUCUGAUUCCAGUCUUCAUGUAAUUCUUGUGGUGUUUAGAGAAAGGACUGGAAGAUACUGAAGACAAUAAUGACCUUUUUCUUCCCAAGCAAUACUUUCUUCUAUGAACCUAAUCCUUCAUAUUUUUGUAUGGGUAAGAGUUGUUCUACAUUCCCAGCUGGGACAGAGAUAUAGAUAUAUAGACCAUUGAGCUUUAACCUGCCCAACCAUGACAGGAAUGCAUUUCACAAGACCUUUUUUUUUUUUUUUUUUUUCGGUCAAAAUAAAAGAUAACAGAGUCCUUUCAAAUCACGUCAUUGAAACGCAUACCUUCAGGUCUCCCUUUCAUCAGAGAAAGGUGUUGAAAGUUACAUCCAGCCCUAUGUAACCUCCUUAAGCCUCAGGUUGAGCCCUAGGGGCUCUUUGCUUGCUGGUUUUGUACAGGUAACAAUAAACAAAACGACACCUAGGAUAAAUGAUUGUCGUACAAGUGUUACUUUCAUUAUGAUAGAGCUCUUAGCAUCCCCAAUAUACAUAAAAGUUAAGACAUUCAGAUUUCCUCCGGACCAGCUCAGAAAUGAGUCCUCCACCCUCAGUCUUCCAUUUCCACCAUCCAGACAGGGGCAGGAAAACAGUAACAUUCCUUCUAACACGGAGUUAGAUGUGUACAGAUGGUAGUGGACAACUGACACAUUUUACAGCUCUAAAAGUCCAACUCUCUUUUCCCUGUGACAGUUUCUUUUCAGGUUCCAGUUCAAUGCAAAGCAUAUUUCCAUGGUUGAGUUAUGAACUCCAAAAACGGGGGCUUGUAAUGGAAAUGCAGACAGACGCUUCGCCUUAGCUGUGCUUCUGGGCACCGCUAGAGUCAUCAGUUUUAAUGAGAGCUGUUAAUAUCACCUCCAUCAGAAUGGUUGCCCUGGGCUGACUUUCUGGGCUGUGCACAGGUGCUCUUGGCCAAGAAUGUAAUGUAGGUUAUUACAUUAUCAAUGAGGCACAGAUGUGCUUUCUGACUGAACUCAAGGUGGUGUUCUGGCCAAGUGCAUCACUCUUUCAGUGGGCCCAGGUCUGUUUGUAUCAAAAUGCUGUUCUAGCUCAGUGAACCUCAGAACUGCCUUCUGCUUCCCCAGGACACGAGUUCAGAAAACCUGCUUAAGAAUGCAAGGAUGGGCUCUCCACAGGCAGGCACAGGCUUUCUCAAGAACAUGAAACUUGUCCUGCCACCUUCUGCUUCUUCGGGGAAGGCUUCAGUUACUGCAUAUUCAUUCACUGACUCAUCAGGUUUUUCUUGGGCACCUGUCCUGUGCCAGGUACCCUGGAGGAGUUAAGGGUGAUCCUGCCAAGGAGUCUGCCUGCCGUCUCUCUGCAAUGCUGUCUGCUGUUUCUGUCCUCUUCCAACUUCUUCAGAAUCAUCUCUCAAAACUUGCAUCUCCAUUGCCUCCCCCAGAGGUUCCAGUGCUAACAUUAUGGUGUUUUUUCUAGUGCUGAAUGUUUGCCUGAAUUUACAACCCCAGCAGCUCCGUUCCUCUAAGCUUGAAACCCCCAUUAAUUGGGCUUUUACUUUCUUUCUUUCUUUUCUUUUGAGACAGAGUCUUACUCUUGUCACCCAGGCUGGAGCGCACUUGGCUCACUGCAACCUCCCCCUCCCGGGUUCAAGCGAUUCUCCUGUCUCAGCCUCUCAAGUAGUUGGGAUUGCAGGUGCCUGCCACCAUGCCUGGCUGAUUUUUGUAUUUUUACUAGAGAUGGGGUUUCCCAUGUUGGCCAGGCUGGUCUCAAACUCCUGACCUCAGGUGAUCUGCCUGCCUCGGCCUCCCAAAGUGCUGGGAUUACAGGUGUGAACCAUCUUGCCCGGCCUUCAUUGAACUUUUUCUUAUUCAACUUGCUCCCUGGGAUCUAUCUGAGUCUGACUUGAAGCCAGAUUUUUUGUAAAGCUAGUAGCUGCAGGUCCUGCAGUUAGCCUAGUGGCCUGGCUUGACACUGUCAAGCCAACAGGGAGCUUGGGUGCUGAGAACUGGCUUGGAAAUGCCACAUUGGAUGCAACACCACACCUGUCUGUGUCCUCAAUGAGAGGUCCCAGAAGUUUGUUAGGGAGCGCAUGAUGACUCAGGAGGAAAAAUGGGUUCUCCUCUGCAUGAGGGAGACAUUUAGAAUUGAUCUUGACUUUGAGAGUGAUAUUGCCGUGCUGUUCAGGAAAACUGAUAUCUUAUACAGGAACUAAAUAGUGGGAAAGGAGACCACCGCACUCUACAGCACAGCCUCCCUACUGUCAGUUCAGUUUUAAGCACAGAGGUGAAAAGACAUGAAUAAGACACUGGGAAAUGCGUGCAAGCCCGUGCGUGUGUGUGUGUGUGUGUAUGUGUGCAGUUUGUGUGUGGGCCUGGAGAAGAGUGCAGUGUUUUCAUGAGCAUCUGAGUGCACGAAGCUGGGGGAAAACAUGAAAAAGGCACGGUCAAGAUGGAGUGUGAUUCAAUUCUUCCAUCCUUUUGCUUGUUGCAUGCCCCUCAACUGUUAACCAAAGAUGACAGAAAGAUCCCGAAGACAAAUGGAUGUCCUUUUCCAUUUCCUUUCUGCCUACCCAAGCCCAUCCCCCACCAUGCCUAAUUUCAGAUCACUUCCUCCUUUCUCUUAUUCCCAUGCCUUUUCUACUCCUUGUUUGACUGAUGGUUUGGCAGGGGCAGCAUGAAGGGGCUGAUGGCACUAACCCCGUUGUCUGUCCCCCAUACCCUGCAGGGACGUGGCUGUUGUGGCAGAAUGCAGGACUGUCAUUCCUGCAGCCCACCUCAGAGCCCCAAAGAUAUGGGCUGGUGGCAGCAGUCCCCUGGUGGCGCUGGGACUGUUCUACAUGGCUGGCCUCGUUAUGAAGUGAAUCUCUUGACAGGCAAUUUGUGUCCGCCACCUGUAUCUAGAAAUCCUUUGCUAAGGCUGAGAGAUGCUUCCAAUCUCUCCUCCCAGGUGUAGCUUUCAUGACGUGUUCCACUUCCACUUACCAUAUAAAUUGCCCUGUUUGCAUUUCCAUUCAGUCCUUGAAAUAUUCUGAUCACCUCUCCUUUCUCAUAGGGAGAGAGGCACAUGUUUUAUAAGUAGGAGAAAGGCAAGGACAUGGAGACCCAGCAGAUGAUAGAAAGUAAGAGUCAAAGCGACACAAUUCCGACUCAGGAAGCUUGGGUGGUACAGCCACUCCCUCCAAUGAGGAGAGGCUGUUUGGAUACAAUGCAGAGGUGUGAGGGUUGACUAUUCUAUCUAGGGAUUUGCUAUGGACUUUCUUUUGUCAAACACCAGGUGGAAAUCUUCAUGGUGAUUAACUCAAUAGUAGAAAAUUUGGACAAUAUAUUAGUAUUUAAAAAGCCCUUAUGCCGGGCGCAGUGGCUCACGCCUGUAAUCCCAGCACUUUGGGAGGCUGAGGCUGGCAGAUCACCUGAGGUCAGGAGUUCGAGACCAGCCUGGCCAACAUAGUGAAACCCCGUCUCUACUAAAAAUACAAAAAUUAGCCGGGUGUGGUGGCACGCGCUGGUAGUCCCAGCUACUCGGGAGGCUGAGGCAGGAGAAUCGCUCGAACCCAGGAGGCAGAAGAGGUUGCAGUGAGCCAAGAUUGCACCAC
rnacentral:lncRNA from 10 species